GCCGUUCGAGGACGCGCGUGAACCCCCGUGUCUAGGUUGACUGAUUGGCAAGUAAUAUGUCGCAUCCGGUUUUAAAGAACAAAACCAGGCUAGCCAUAUGUGUGCCCAGGAAGUCCACACAUAUAACAACAGAAAGAAAUAGUAUCAGAAAACAAUAUUAUAUAGCGGAAACAUACUUAUAAUUAACACUUACAUCAGAGAAUCAUAACACAAUAACUAAUCUUCAGGCUCAAUCUUCACAGGGACGGCUGACUGGGGUAACAUAUGCCUAGCACUUCUUGUAUUCUGAGAACAUCCUUCAUGAUUCCCUCGCUCUUCUGAUCAACUCUUACUAGUAAACUGGAGUGGUGGGAAAUUGCAAGAGUGAGCACAUAUCGUAUUCAACAAGUAUAACCAGGGGUUCAUGAGGCUCAAAUAGCUGACACUGGUUUGACUGCAUUUAGCUUUUAAUGGUGGGUAGCAUGUUCAUUAAUUAAUAGCAAAUGUCAAGGUAGUAGAAAUAAUCCAUUAAUCACAUGAUCAAGUGUAAGCAUAAUUAAUCUCAUAGCAUAAACGAUAAUCAAAUGAACAUAACAACUUAACAAGCUCAUCGUCGUCGAUGCAAGAACCCCCAAGGCCGCUCAUAACCGUGAGCACGGCUAGUAUACUAGUUUUAACACUCUGCAGAGGUUGUACAUCUUUACCCAUGAGUCAUGAUUUACCCUUUCGCCCGAGGUAGCUAAUCUCUUAACCCCCUUCCUAGGGAGGUCGGCAUGGAUCACUAUGAAGCCUUUCAAAAGUUCGUCUAACAUGUUAGGGCCGCAAGGUUUCCUUUGCGAGCAGAUAUAGAUACCCCCCUUCCGAAUGGCACAAUGACGCGCAGCCUAUACACAUAGGGACAGGGGCUCGCACUAUACCCGUGUCGGUUCAGCCCCUCCGCCCUUUCGGGUAACCUCUAACAAGCUAGAAAAGGUCUUCAUACUGAGCUAAAGCCAGAGCCAUUAUAGCCCUCAUGGUUGCACUGUUGUCCCGAUGAUCACUUACAGACAAGAUCUCAUAUAGUUAUUUGUCAUCUUUUAACGUUCAUUGCAUAGCUAUUAAUCACCUUACACGAUCAUGGAUUAUAUCAAGCACUAGCACAUCUACACCAAAUGCAUAUCAAGUAGGUAACAAGGAAUCCAGGUAACAAUCAUCUAUGAUUUUGCUAAGGUCGACAAGGUGAUAGCAUGCAUAUGAUAUAUAUGUGUAGUUAUAAGUGAAUAGGUAACAAGGAUGAUCCCAAGUUAUACUUGCCUUAAAGACUUGCUCAAUUCUCACACCAUCAGCUUUUGGUCAUCAUCUUCUAAUCUUCCGCGUCCACGGACAGUUCUUGUCUAUUCGUAUCAAGCACCACACAUAGGCAAACAUACAAGCAACAAACAGAACACUAAGAACAAUACACCAUACAAGACAAAAGAGCAUACUAAAAGAGAAUCAACGCUACAAGAUCACAACAAACACCGAAACGGAACCUAUCGUUAAAAGAAAUGAAUAACGGUACUUUUAUACUAUAAAAGAGAAGCUUAAACAUUUAAUUUAUUUAAGUAAAUAAAAUAAUGUAAAAGUUAUUAAUUCAGAUUAAUGUGAACAUAUUUAUUUUCAAAAUUCAAGCUAAAACUAAUCAUAUUUUAUUUAUAAAUAUUUAGAUUUCAUUUAUGUCAAUUCAACACUAACUUGUGAAUACCAAUUGACAUUGGAGCGCAUUGAAUUGGGUUUAACAUGCGUAUUUAGACUAGACAAAUUAUAGUUUAGGUACAUGAUUAUGUUAGCGAUUAAUCAUGUUAACAUUUAUAUAUAAAAUCCAUAAAUAUAAAACCUAUAUUGAUUUUUAGUUAUAAAACUGGAUGCAAGUGUAUUAUUCAAUUUAUUAUUUAACUAUGUAUAGAAAAACAUGUGGCGAUUAAACUUAAGCACUUAUGUUUUAAGGUCGAACUAAGCAUUUUAUAAUUCAAAAGACAUCAUGGUUAAUACUAGUUCAAAUAACAUUAAUUUAUGAAGGACCGAAAUAUAACCUAUUAUGCUUUUAAUUAGGAAUAUAAUUGCGUAAGCAUAAAUUAAAUUAAUAUUUAACUUAUGAAAUUUAAUGAUGUGAUAUAUGUUAAACAUCGCCGCUAACAAGUAGUUUCGGUCUACACGAUUGCAUGCAACGAGAAUUGAGGUUAAUUUUUAAUUAGAAAUUAUUUAAUAAAUGAUAAACAAAUUGUAUUCAAAUAAAUAAAUCUAAAAGGAAGUUAUGUAAUAAACAUUUAUUCUACUGCGUAGAGCAUGAUGGCACAAAUCUAACACAAUUUGAACGAACCGAAUCGGUGUUAGGAUAAUCAAAUUGCGCAAGUUACGAAUGAGUGGCAAAACUGUAAAUACCUCUUCAUCUUCCUUGGUCCGUCUAGGUACCGAACGGCAAAGGCCAUGGAGGCUGCUGUGAUCCUCGACGUAGGAAAGGGAGGGGUCCUCGGCCAGGCCAGGCUGGACCGUCAGCAGCAUCCACCCGUGCUCCGUGCGUACUCGCACAACAUGGGUUGGUGCCCACCACAUCAGGGCACGGCCGAGCGGACCAGGGCGACGACGGAUGCAUGGAGCUGGAUGGCUGGGCUGGAUCGGCACGUCGGACUGGCAACGGCUGAGCCAAGCAUGGGGAACCGGCCACGGCGAGUGCAGCCCUGCACGCACACUCGCCCAGCGGGCUAGUUCGGUAGAGACCGAGCAGCAACAUCAAAACAAAAAGAUCGGAAGACCAUGGAGUUCACCGGAAUCCUUAUCGGUAAUGAGAUGUGUUAGGGAAACAAUCAAGCAGAUAUGGAUUUAUAAAAGGAGUAGCGUGCCGGUGAAGAGAACGACGAGAACAACCUUUAGGUGGUGACGGUUUUCGCAGGGGACGUCGAAGAUGGCCGGAAAAGCUCGCCGAAGGUUCGCCGGAGUUCUAGGUUUCGAAACUUCGGCGUUAGAUCUACGACGAUAGGAGUGGCGGCUCACAAAUCGGGCUAUACUUCUGAAAUCAGGGCGUCGAGGGCUACGCCGGCAUAUAUAUAUUGUUAGGGUUUGACGUCGUAGAAAAAUUGGAUAUUUUAUUAUUUUCGGAUUUAAUUAAUUUCGUGAAUAAAAAUAAUUCCAGAAAGUCCAGAAUUGAUAUUUAAGGUCCGAAAAAUACUCCAAAGGCUAUAAAAAUUAUGAGAAAAUUCUUAGAGAUAUUUUAGAACAUGAGAAACCCAAAUAAAGUAUUUAGAGCUAAUAAAAAGAUAUCUAGGAGUAUCUCAAAAUUAGAUUAUGCUCAAAUUCAAGUGGAAAUAAAUUCUAGAAAAAUGCUGAAAUAAUUCCUGAUAAGUCUUAAUAGGUCGGUUGAUGGAAGAUGAGCUCAAAGAAAUAAUUUAGAGUAGAAUAAGAUGAUAUGGAAAGCUCCAAAUAAGAAGAUUAAGAUCAAGAAAGAGAAGACUUGAUUAUAAAAAAAAACAGAGACAUGUCGGAUAAAAAAAAACAACGACUUACUAACGGAGUCUAAAUUUUAGCCAAACAUAAGCCAAGCAGCAAGCAAGCAUCACACCACAUCAACAAAAGCCCAUCAAAUUAAUUUAGAAAAUUUUAAAGAAUGAUAUAUUUCUUGUAACUAAUUGACGCUAUUUUAAACUGAUGUUUAAAAUUUUAUCCCAAUAUAUAAAUAUUUAUUUUAAUUACUAUUUUCUAUGCAUAACCCAAAAUCAAAAAAAAUUUGGGGUAUGACAUAAUACCUCAAGUCCUCAUUUUGCUAGGGUGGGCGGAAGAUCUCUAUAAUUUCAUAUUGUUUCCCCCCUAGUGUGCCCCUCUUAUGGCGUGUCGUUAUACUAAACUCUAUUUCUCAUCUUAAUACAAAGAUACGCAAACCUUUUAUACAUAUUAAAAAAAGCAGCCA
rnacentral:lncRNA from 1 species